AGAGCUGCACGCAGACACGUAAAAACAAUUUAAUUUCAUGCUUUAAUUCUCCAAAGCUUUUGCAUGCCCUGUGCCAUGCAGGCAAGGGGAUCUGCACCCUUAGCUCCUGCAGGGCAACGAUGCACCCUCUGGGAUGGACUCUGUGCCCCUGCCCAGGGCUGCACUGUGAAGCUCCCCCGCUUGGAUGCAGCUUUGCAGAGAGAUGUCCCAGCAAAUGAGGAAAGGGAGAAAUAAGGGGGAAGAAAUGCUGAUGUCUCUCAUUUACCAUCACGGGCCGUUGCCCCACCAUCAUCACCCCAUAAACAUGUCAACAGCGAAACGCAAACCAAAUUGCAGCGAAGGAACGCAACCAUAGUCAGAGUCCCAUUAGCCUGUAAUUGAGAUGGCAACGAGAAGAUGGCUGAGAGAGGACGAAGGGCUCCAGGCUCCGUGUGCUGGGCUACCAAGGAGUCAAGGGGAAAAGCAAGAAUUGCAGGAAUUGCUCAUUCCAUUUCCUGUGGUUUCAUAAUUUUGCUGCUUACCAAUUUUGAAUUUCACAAAGCUUGUGGUUUCCCAACAGCCUUCAUCUGUGGGGAGGAUACAUUUCAGUAGCGAACUGAACUGACACAAAAUUCCCAACGAAAAUAAUACGACAUCAGCUGGCAUUCUGAACUACGUGAGAAAGAAACACAAAUACCCCACUGCCUGAGCGGCCCAGGCGAGGAAGCAAAACACAACAUCCCAGUGUCAGAAGGUCGCUUCCGAGCUGCCACAAACGGAGGGUCACCGCAGAUCCUCCAUCUCCAUCCAUGUGCAAAGUGCAGCCAAGUGUGGGCUGGGGGCUGCACGGCUGAGCUCUGGCUCUUGUGAGCGGAAAACGCCCAAUUGCGUGUUGGAAAACCAUGGUGUGUUCCUCCUGCCUGCGGGUACUGGCAGCAGGCAGGUUGCAGUGGGUGGCAGGAAGGAAGCGGAGGGGGCUUUGGUGGGGUUUUCGUCUGGAAAAAUCAGAGGUUUUGCACGUGGCCCCCUCUGGCUGCGUUCCUGUGCCCCCAAGCCUGGUGCAUCGCCCUGUGCUCUGCAUGCAGCACAUGAGGCCGGGCUGCUCCACGUCACGGGGGCAAAAAGGAAAGGAGAGUGGGAAAGAGAAGAACGUCCUGCUGGUUAAAGAGUUGAG
rnacentral:lncRNA from 7 species